UGGCUGGAAUGUGCGCGCGCAGUUUAAAGGUCGUGACAGCCGUUGGUCCUCUCUGAGUCAACUACCAACCGCCAACUAACUAACCGCCAACUAACCGCCAAUUAGCCGUUAGGCAACAACGUUUUUGCAAAGCAUUCUCUUACACACUAUUCUCGACAGCUUCGUCUUACCGUAGAAGUGUGUUUUGUUAGCUGUCAGCCCGGUUCUGACGGCUCUCCCUCGCUGUGAUAAAUACAGACAGAUGGCGACUCAUGUCUCUAAAUACUGUAAAUGGAUUAUCCUCCCGGUAAUCCUGUGUAAACUACUCCAGUAACUGCGAAACACUGACGCAUCACUGCCAGCGUUGCCAUCUGCUGUGAAAAAACGAUAUCACCCAGACAGAGGUGCUGCUGGGCUGCUGGCUGAAUAUUCACCUGUGUGCAUGAUGCAGUGUGGGUGAGUCGGUGCAGUACCUAUGUCUGUCUGUCUGUCUGUCUGUCUGUCUGUGAAGCUGGCUUGUGUAGCAGAUGGACUGGACUGGACUCCUCGGCUGGACUGGACUGAGCCGUGCAGAGCCGAAAAAGAAUGGUUCUGCUCGGUGUGACCUGGAUCUGACUGGAGACCCAUCGUCCCAGGUGGCACUGGGACCUAGUUGAUAUAAAUACUGUCCAAUCACAAAAGCCUUCUUCUGAAUGAGGCUAACCAAAGGAGGGGAGGGGAAGGAGGAAAAGUGAAUUGAGUGAAGUGAUGUCAGGGUGGGUGGCGAAGUAAAUUUAGAGAGUUAAAAGGCUGCAAGAAAGAAAGUGAGUGAAAACAGGAGUAGAUGGAGACAAAGACUGGAGGCAGAAAUUUAACCUGGAUUGGUUGGAGCGGUGGAAAUGUGAAAGGGUGGCAAUCAUAUGAAUUGAGUGGUGCAAAUUGAGAGAGGAGUAAAUUACAGGUAUGAUAGCUGCUGGGGAAUAAUAGAAAACCCCCCUCUAUUUAACUCGGCAGUGGUAUUUAUUAUUAAUGGCGGGUAAGAUGACAAAUACAGAGAUCUGUGUGUGCUGACAUAAUCCUCAACUCCCAUUUCUCUCACCAGCAGCAGCAGGUCACCUUGACUUCUAAACAAGUUUUUGUCAUCCCCUCCUCGAGCUCAUAUAAGAGUUUCGUUUUGAAAAUUGGGUAUGAUGACAGUCGCAUGACAACACUGCCAUUCUGUUUGUGGAGAGGCAUAGUCAUAGUCUUGAGCUGGAUGAUGAUGAUUAAGCAGGCGACACCGGGAUGGUAGGGGUGCGUGCAGUAAUGAACCUCCUUUCACCUUUUGCUAAGCCACACCAUUUAAUGACUGCAAAUCAAAACAAAUCAGACUAAGCGGCUUCUACACUAAGCUAGAAGACAUGUCACACUCGGUACAGGUCACAAUUCUGUCAUUUAAAGGGACCCCUUGUAAAAUGUUUGUUUCCUAUUUAUGUUUAAAAAACCAAAACAUAAUAAUGUGAUAUUUUUUAAACUCUCAAACGUUAAUAUCUGUAUCAAUAAUCCAGCAUCUGCGUAGUACUAACUGUAACUUUCAAUCCUGCUUUAAUGGACUGCUACUACAUUAACACUGUUAAUUUACAAAUUACUGGAAAGGACAGAUGCUUUGUUUAGACUGAGAUACUGUCUGACAGCUGAUGGUAUUAGCUGUGUGUGUGUGUCAUGUAGGCUGCAUUUGGCAGUCAUGCCCCAUAUGGUUAUCUGUUCAGUCAACCAUUAUUUAGAGUUUCCCAGCUUCACAAGGGAAUUGCAAUUCUCUGAACAUUUAAAUGCAGACACACACUCGACCCAUGGCCGGGAUGAACACACAAGUCAGCAGUUUUAAUGAGCAAAGCAUAAUGUAGCAGCUCCGCAUCUCUGCACAGUUAGUUUAUACACGGCGCUGUGAUUCAGUCUGGUGUGUCCCCUUAAACGGCACUUUUUAUAGCUCGAGUGUUGGUGCAUCUAUGAACCCAUUAACAAUGAUACUGCCACUUUGUGUCUGGAUGUGUGUACUGCACAUAUAUUAUUUUAACAGCAUCAGUAAUAAUGAUGCAAAGAUGAAUGUGUAGAGCUCUGCACUAACACUGACAGAGUUAUGGAUUAAAUUCUCACCAGUCAAACACGAUAAAAGCUGAUCUUCAUCAUACUGUGAUGUGCUUUGGAAAGAAGAUUCUGCAUUGAUAUUUUUGUCCUGCAGAAUCCUCAGAUGUACAUACAGUUUUUUUUGUAUUUAGUUCAGGAGACAACAGCUGUUGUAGAAAAUAUGUUGUGAAUUUGGAACCAAGUCAAACUCUUAACGGAUGAAAUUUAAAUGGACGGAUGGAUAUAUUCUGCAAGACACAUUCUGAAUACCAAUAGAUGAGACUUAAAUUAU